AGAGAGACACUGAUGAACUGGGGAGCCAUGCUCUAACAACGUUCAGAGGCUUGUAACAGUCUACUGAGUCUGACACGGUGCUUAAAUGGGCUCUGGAGACGCAGGAAUGUUGUUGGAUUCAACUAUUUCCGAAAAGAAUAGACUGAUAUGAAUGCUUCAAAUAUUAAAACCCGAUUGAUUAGGCCUAUGCCGACAUAAUAUCAGUCCUAAUCCUGAACGCACCGUGCGUACAUUUUUCACGGCAUUUUCCCCCAGACAGACAGACAGACAGACAGACAGACAGACAGACAGACAGACAGACAGACAGACAGACAGACAGACACUUUAUUUACCCCAAACUAACUUUCAUAAUCCAGCAGGUUACACAAUACAAAUAACUCUUACACAAAUACAGACAGUCGAUACAGUAGGAGUAGGCUAAUACAGCGCCCACCUCAGCAAAAGGUAAAAUGUAAAAAGAAGAUAUAAGCUACAUUUAAAAUACAGAUGCUGUAGCCUACAUAAAAAUACAGAUGCCACAUGAAAUAUGAAAAUAGGAUGCAAUGUAUAAAUAUGCAAAACUAGGAUAUAACUAGGCUAUAAUGAGAAUAUUUGGUUAACUUACAUCUGUGCAAUGACUAUCCUCCUAAAUUAAAUUAGUUAGAUGGAAAGAUUUUUGUCUAUGGAAUGAUCCUGUCACUUUACUGCCACACAUUGUGUGUGUCAGUAAAGUGAUGAGGUAGGAGAAUCCGUGUAUGGAUUGUUUUUUGGUUUUUCAGAUUUGGUUUUGAAACUGAAAAAGGGCAAAAGGAAUAAACAAAUAAACGGCAUUUGAUUUUG